rnacentral:rRNA from 2 species
AGAGUUUGAUCCUGGCUCAGGAUGAACGCUAGCUACAGGCUUAACACAUGCAAGUCGAGGGGCAGCGGGAUUGAAGCUUGCUUCAAUUGCCGGCGACCGGCGCACGGGUGAGUAACGCGUAUCCAACCUUCCGUACACUCAGGGAUAGCCUUUCGAAAGAAAGAUUAAUACCUGAUGGUAUGAUGAGAUUGCAUGAUAGCAUCAUUAAAGAUUUAUCGGUGUACGAUGGGGAUGCGUUCCAUUAGGUAGUAGGCGGGGUAACGGCCCACCUAGCCUACGAUGGAUAGGGGUUCUGAGAGGAAGGUCCCCCACAUUGGAACUGAGACACGGUCCAAACUCCUACGGGAGGCAGCAGUGAGGAAUAUUGGUCAAUGGACGAGAGUCUGAACCAGCCAAGUAGCGUGAAGGAUGAAGGUCCUACGGAUUGUAAACUUCUUUUAUAAGGGAAUAAAACCUCCCACGUGUGGGAGCUUGUAUGUACCUUAUGAAUAAGCAUCGGCUAACUCCGUGCCAGCAGCCGCGGUAAUACGGAGGAUGCGAGCGUUAUCCGGAUUUAUUGGGUUUAAAGGGAGCGCAGACGGGUCGUUAAGUCAGCUGUGAAAGUUUGGGGCUCAACCUUAAAAUUGCAGUUGAUACUGGCGUCCUUGAGUGCGGUUGAGGUGUGCGGAAUUCGUGGUGUAGCGGUGAAAUGCUUAGAUAUCACGAAGAACUCCGAUUGCGAAGGCAGCACACUAAGCCGUAACUGACGUUCAUGCUCGAAAGUGUGGGUAUCAAACAGGAUUAGAUACCCUGGUAGUCCACACGGUAAACGAUGGAUACUCGCUGUUGGCGAUAUACAGUCAGCGGCUUAGCGAAAGCGUUAAGUAUCCCACCUGGGGAGUACGCCGGCAACGGUGAAACUCAAAGGAAUUGACGGGGGCCCGCACAAGCGGAGGAACAUGUGGUUUAUUCGAUGAUACGCGAGGAACCUUACCCGGGCUUAAUUGCAAAGGAAUGAUCUGAAACAGUCAGUCUUCGGACUUUGUGAGGUGCUGCAUGUGUCGUCAGCUCGUGCCGUGAGUGUCGCUUAAGUGCAAUAACGAGCGCAUCCCUCCGCCGCCAGUUACCUAACAG